rnacentral:rRNA from 1 species
GUAACACGUAGUCAACCUGCCCUCGGGUCGAGAAUAAUCUCGGGAAACUGAGGCUAAUGAGCGAUAGGUCAUGAUUCCUGGAAUGGGUUUUGGUCUAAACGGCGUGACAGCAUCUUGUCGUGUCCGCCCGAGGAUGGGACUGCGGCCGAUCAGGCUGUUGGUGGGGUAAAGGCCCACCAAACCAGUAACCGGUACGGGCUUUGAGAGAAGGAGCCCGGAGAUGGACACUGAGACAAGGGUCCAGGUCCUACGGGGCGCAGCAGGCGCGAAACCUUCGCAAUGCGCGCAAGCGCGACGAGGUUAUUCCGAGUGAUUUCCGCUGAGGAAAUCUUUUCUUAGAUCUAAAAAGUCUGGGGAAUAAGGGGAGGGCAAGUCUGGUGUCAGCCGCCGCGGUAAUACCAGCUCCUCGAGUGGUCAGGGCGUUUAUUGGGCCUAAAGCAUCCGUAGCCUGCUCGGUAGGUCUCCUGUUAAAUCCAACGGCUCAACCGUUGGUCUGCAGGAGAUACCGCUGGGCU